GACGUAGGGCGCGAGCGUUGUCCGGAUUUAUUGGGCGUAAAGAGCUCGUAGGCGGCUUGUCGCGUCGAAUGUGAAAACUCGGGGCUCAACUCCGAGCUUGCAUUCGAUACGGGCAGGCUAGAGUUCGGUAGGGGAGACUGGAAUUCCUGGUGUAGCGGUGAAAUGCGCAGAUAUCAGGAGGAACACCGGUGGCGAAGGCGGGUCUCUGGGCCUGUCCUGACGCUGAGGCGCGAAAGCUAGGGGGAGCGAACAGG
rnacentral:rRNA from 1 species